CUCUCAGUCAACUUGAUACCUCUGAAUGAAGUCUCUUAAUUGUAUCAGUACUCACUAUGUUCUAUAUUGGCUAUGGCUGUCCUCCAAUGAGCCAGUGUGCCCAUAUGAAGAAUUUCUACUGAAUCUGACAAGACAAUCUGUGAGAGUUCCCCACAUCCUGAGAAUGGCAGAGAGGAGCUGCACCAUGUGGCUAACAAGUUGUUCUUGGGGAGGCUGCACUCCUGGCUCCUCCUCAGCUUGCCUUCUCCUGCCUGAGUUUUUAGGGACCACCGCAGAGCCAACAGACUGAGGAGUUCUGCACUGCAGUGAAGGUUCCCACUUCUCUACACCCUGAACUUUAAGCAAUUAUUAAAUACUGUAAAA